AUUAAGAUGUCUGAGAAAAGUGGUAAACUGUAAAUUUACUUAUGAGUAAAAUUUAAGCUCUCUUAAUA
rnacentral:tRNA from 1 species